AUAGGGAAAUCGAAAAAUAGGGAAAUCAAGAAAUAGGGAAAUCGAGAAAGCAAAAACGCGAAAACACGAAAACGCGAAAUGAAUUUCUCGAUUUCGCGUUUUUGCUUUCUCGAUUUCCCGAUUUCCCGAUUUCCCAAUUUCUCAAUUUCUCGAUU
rnacentral:sRNA from 1 species